rnacentral:rRNA from 1 species
GACGAACGCUGGCGGCGUGCUUAACACAUGCAAGUCGAACGGAAAGGCCCUGCUUUUGUGGGGUGCUCGAGUGGCGAACGGGUGAGUAACACGUGAGUAACCUGCCCUUGACUUUGGGAUAACUUCAGGAAACUGGGGCUAAUACCGGAUAGGAGCUCCUGCUGCAUGGUGGGGGUUGGAAAGUUUCGGCGGUUGGGGAUGGACUCGCGGCUUAUCAGCUUGUUGGUGGGGUAGUGGCUUACCAAGGCUUUGACGGGUAGCCGGCAUGAGAGGGUGAACGGACACAUUGGGACUGAGAUACGGCCCAGACUCGUACGGGAGGCAGCAGUGGGGAAUAUUGCACAAUGGGGGGAAGCCUGAUGAAGAAACGCCGCGUGCGGGAUGACGGCCUUCGGGUUGUAAACCGCUUUCGCCUGUGACGAAGCGUGAGUGACGGUAAUGGGUAAAGAAGCACCGGCUAACUACGUG